rnacentral:rRNA from 1 species
GUGAGGAAUUUUCCGCAAUGGGCGAAAGCCUGACGGAGCAAUGCCGCGUGAAGGAUGAAGGCCUAUGGGUUGUAAACUUCUUUUCUUAGAGAAGAAUAUUGACGGUAUCUGAGGAAUAAGCAUCGGCUAACUCUGUGCCAGCAGCCGCGGUAAGACAGAGGAUGCAAGCGUUAUCUGGAAUGAUUGGGCGUAAAGCGUCUGUAGGUGGCUUCAAAAGUCUCCUGUCAAAGAUCAGGGCUUAACCCUGGGCCGGCAGGAGAAACUCUGAGGCUAGAGUUUGGUAGGGGCAGAGGGAAUUCCCGUUGGAGCGGUGAAAUGCGUAGAGAUCGGGAGGAACACCAAAGGCGAAAGCACUCUGCUGGGCCACAACUGACACUGAGAGACGAAAGCGAGGGGAGCAAAAGGGAUUAGAAACCCUGGUAGUCC